rnacentral:rRNA from 1 species
GAUGAACGCUGGCGGCGUGCCUAACACAUGCAAGUCGAAACGGACUUACAUUGAAGCCUAGCGAUAUGUAAGUUAGUGGCGGACGGGUGAGUAACGCGUGGGUAACCUGCCUUGUACUGGGGGACAACAGUUGGAAACGACUGCUAAUACCGCAUAAGCGCACAGUACCGCAUGGUACAGUGUGAAAAACUCCGGUGGUAUAAGAUGGACCCGCGUCUGAUUAGCUGGUUGGUGAGGUAACGGCCCACCAAGGCGACGAUCAGUAGCCGACCUGAGAGGGUGACCGGCACAUUGGGACUGAGACACGGCCCAAACUCCUACGGGAGGCAGCAGUGGGGAAUAUUGCACAAUGGGGGAAACCCUGAUGCAGCGACGCCGCGUGAGCGAAGAAGUAUUUCGGUAUGUAAAGCU